CGUAACAAGGUCUCCGUUGGUGAACCAGCGGAGGGAUCAUUACCGAGUUUUCAACUCCCAAACCCUUUUGUGAACAUACCUAUCGUUGCUUCGGCGGACUCGCCCCAGCGUCCGGCCGGCCCCGCGCCGGCCGCGGCCUGGAUCCAGGCGGCCGCCGGAGACCCCCAAACUCUGUAUUCUCAGUAUCUUCUGAAUCCGCCGCAAGGCAAAACAAAUGAAUCAAAACUUUCAACAACGGAUCUCUUGGUUCUGGCAUCGAUGAAGAACGCAGCGAAAUGCGAUAAGUAAUGUGAAUUGCAGAAUUCAGUGAAUCAUCGAAUCUUUGAACGCACAUUGCGCCCGCCAGCAUUCUGGCGGGCAUGCCUGUUCGAGCGUCAUUUCAACCCUCGACUUCCCUUUGGGGAAAUCGGCGUUGGGGACCGGCCGUAUACCGCCGGCCCCGAAAUGAAGUGGCGGCCCGUCCGCGGCGACCUCUGCGUAGUAAUCCAACUCGCACCGGAACCCCGACGUGGCCACGCCGUAAAACCCCCGACUUCUGAACGUUGACCUCGGAUCAGGUAGGAAUACCCGCUGAACUUAAGCAUAUCA
rnacentral:rRNA from 1 species